GAGGGGGAUAACUACUGGAAACGGUAGCUAAUACCGCAUAACGUCGCAAGACCAAAGAGGGGGACCUUCGGGCCUCUUGCCAUCGGAUGUGCCCAGAUGGGAUUAGCUAGUAGGUGGGGUAACGGCUCACCUAGGCGACGAUCCCUAGCUGGUCUGAGAGGAUGACCAGCCACACUGGAACUGAGACACGGUCCAGACUCCUACGGGAGGCAGCAGUGGGGAAUAUUGCACAAUGGGCGCAAGCCUGAUGCAGCCAUGCCGCGUGUAUGAAGAAGGCCUUCGGGUUGUAAAGUACUUUCAGCGGGGAGGAAGGGAGUAAAGUUAAUACCUUUGCUCAUUGACGUUACCCGCAGAAGAAGCACCGGCUAACUCCGUGCCAGCAGCCGCGGUAAUACGGAGGGUGCAAGCGUUAAUCGGAAUUACUGGGCGUAAAGCGCACGCAGGCGGUUUGUUAAGUCAGAUGUGAAAUCCCCGGGCUCAACCUGGGAACUGCAUCUGAUACUGGCAAGCUUGAGUC
rnacentral:rRNA from 1 species